rnacentral:misc_RNA from 1 species
CACCCGAUCUUGGAUCAGCUGUCUGUCUCUUGGCCUUGGCCUUUGGUUAUCACCGUGUUUGACCCUUCUUUUGGUGACCGUUGUCUUGUGUCCUUUCCGAGGCUGUGUGCCAUCGGAUUCAUUGUCAUGCUGUUCCGUGCUAAAAAUUGCGUCCAUCAUGCUCCUUAAAGUACUUGAAGAACUAUCAGCAAUCUCGUCCCCAAUAAUACAUGCAGAUUUAAGAUGCCUACAUAGUGUUGAAUCAUCCUUCACCAAGG